rnacentral:rRNA from 1 species
GAUGAACGCUGGCGGCGUGCUUAACACAUGCAAGUCGAACGGAACUACUCCAAUGAGAGUCUUCGGAACGGAUUUGGUUUAGUUUAGUGGCGGACGGGUGAGUAACGCGUGGGUAACCUGCCCUAUACAGGGGGAUAACAGUUGGAAACGACUGUUAAUACCGCAUAAGCGCACAGGAGCGCAUGCUCCGGUGUGAAAAACUCCGGUGGUAUAGGAUGGACCCGCGUCUGAUUAGCUGGUUGGCGGGGUAACGGCCCACCAAGGCGACGAUCAGUAGCCGGCCUGAGAGGGUGAACGGCCACAGUGGGACUGAGACACGGCCCAAACUCCUACGGGAGGCAGCAGUGGGGAAUAUUGCACAAUGGGGGAAACCCUGAUGCAGCGACGCCGCGUGAGCGAAGAAGUAUCUCGGUAUGUAAAGCUCUAUCAGCAGGGAAGAAAAUGACGGUACCUGACGAAGAAGCCCCGGCUAACUACGUG